rnacentral:rRNA from 1 species
CGAACGGGUGCGUAACACGUAAAGAACCUGUCCUUUAGCGGGGGAUAGCCCUGGGAAACUGGGGGUAAUACCGCAUACGCAGCACGAUACGCAUGUAUCGAGUUGGAAAGGCAUCGCAAGAUGUCACUGAAGGAGGGCUUUGCGGCCUAUCAGGUAGUUGGUGGGGUAACGGCCUACCAAGCCGAAGACGGGUAGCUGGUCUGAGAGGACGGCCAGCCACACGGGGACUGAGACACGGCCCCG